rnacentral:lncRNA from 1 species
GCCGUGGUGGUAGCAUUACUUGAGCCUCAGCUACCAAUCUAAGUUUCCAUUCCCACUAACGUAUUCGAAAACCGAUAACUAUUUCUAAAAACGAGUAGGGGUAUGUAUUCCCCACUGAUCUACCCAAAAAAAAAAAAAGUUCAAAAGUCUUAUACACCGCAAGACAAUAUAUCUAAAAUACAUAAAAUUAUACAAAGAGACCAA